rnacentral:rRNA from 1 species
UUUGAACGCUGGCGGCAGGCCUAACACAUGCAAGUCGAACGAGUGGCGGACGGGUGAGUAAUGUAUGGGAAACUGCCCGAUGGAGGGGGAUAACUACUGGAAACGGUAGCUAAUACCGCAUACCAUCGGAUGUGCCCAGAUGGGAUUAGCUAGUAGGUGGGGUAAAGGCUCACCUAGGCGACGAUCCCUAGCUGGUCUGAGAGGAUGACCAGCCACACUGGAACUGAGACACGGUCCAGACUCCUACGGGAGGCAGCAGUGGGGAAUAUUGGACAAUGGGCGCAAGCCUGAUGCAGCCAUCCCGCGUGUAUGAAGAAGGCCUUCGGGUUGUAAAGUACUUUCAGCGAGGAAGCGUUACUCGCAGAAGAAGCACCGGCUAACUCCGUGCCAGCAGCCGCGGUAAUUC